ensembl:lncRNA
GUGCUUUUGAGGGAGUGAAUUGCCUUGAAGGUUGUGGAAUAACACUCAUGCUAAUCUGAGCGUCCUUGCAAGUGCUUUAAAGGUCUUAAACUAUCUGGAGAGUGUCUUAGGCCGAGUGUUCCCAGUGUGCUGCGAACCUGCACUAUACGCCUGUUCAGUGUGGACUUGCACUCCUGCCAUUCCCCCAGGGGCCGUUUUGAACCAGGGCCAAAACUUUCACAGCGGGUCAAAAGUCUGCACUCCUCCUCUCACUAACCCACAGGCGGGUGCCCUGCUCACCUCACACCAGAGGCAGACCCUGCUGGAGGACUGAGGUUAGCGCACACCGCUAACAGCACUGAAACCAGGGCAGUGCCGUAUGAUGGGCCCUUCAUGAUUUCCAAGCAAAGGAGUGCGGUUGCCCAGAGCAUGACUGUACAAAUGAAUGACGCGUCAGGGAAAACAUGUUGCCUUCUCUAAAGAGCUGAACCUUAAGGGCCCCCUAGAACAUAAAGAUCGGCCGUGUGGUUUCGGUCAGGAGGGACGCUAACCGAAUCCAGUUGGUAGCUAGUGUGCUGGAAUGAAUGUGGUGACAGGGCUAGUAAUUACCCACAGAAUGAAGGGCAGCAAUUGCUAAAGCCUAUUCAGUUCUUUUCUGCAUUAGGAGGCCAUUUUACAUGUCUCUCAAAAUGCACCACAAAGGAUGGCCAACACCCGUUUCUAUCUUUAGAAGGGGGAAUCCACCCAAAGCUGUCAAUCAUGUGGUCUAAUCUCUCAGAAAAAAAAAGGUAAGUCAGAGCACACAGCUUAAUACUGUAAAUACAUUAAUUUAUACAGAAAUAUAAAUUGAGAACAUCAGCCAUUUUCUCAAUGAAGGCAUCCCCAUUUAUUAGAUCAAGAAGCAUGAUUGUGAUUAUGUAGGGAAAAUGUGGGAGAAAAGUAAAGCAUGUGUACACCUGAAAAUAUGCAGCAUUUCUAAGAAAACAAGCACAGGACUAAAGAUUUAUCUGCUUCUGGACUUUACUCACUGCUUACUUUUUCUUGGACUCCGUCUAUGUUUUUCCAAGAGCUGGGAACUAUGCAGAAAAAGGUCAAAGAAAUAAUGAUUUGGAAAAAAAAAAAAUGUGUAUUAAUUUUUUGUAAUACUAAAUUACAGCCUUAUGAAAAGCAGGGAUUAAUGGACUCAGUCCUGCUUUGUAUAUCUCACUGGCACUCAGUGAAGAAACACUUUAUAAAUCACACUAGACG